GCCCGUCUAGCUCAGUCGGUAGAGCGCAAGGCUCUUAACUUUGUGGUCGUGGGUUUGAGCCCCACGGUGGGCG
rnacentral:tRNA from 1 species